UACGUAGGGUGCAGGCGUUACUCGGAAUUACUGGGCGUAAAGCGUGCGCAGGCGGUUUCUUAAGUCAGAUGUGAAAGCCCCGGGCUUAACCUGGGAACUGCGUUUGAAACUGGGAGACUUGAGUGUGGCAGAGGGGGGUGGAAUUCCACGUGUAGCAGUGAAAUGCGUAGAUAUGUGGAGGAACACCGAUGGCGAAGGCAGCCCCCUGGGUUAACACUGACGCUCAUGCACGAAAGCGUGGGGAGCAAACAGG
rnacentral:rRNA from 1 species